rnacentral:misc_RNA from 1 species
AAGUCGUAACAAGGUUUCCGUAGGUGAACCUGCGGAAGGAUCAUUAACACUAAUGAUAUCCAAACCUUUUGGAUCAACCCAACCUUAGCGAACCGUUCGUUUUUUUCCUUUGCCCUUUUUAACAAACCCAACAUAUCUCUGAUGUAAAGUGUCUGAUUUCAUAUUCUGGCGUGGCUUAACGGCCAAACGGAAUCAAAAUCUAACGCAAUACAACUCUUAACAACGGAUAUCUUGGCUCUC